GCAACUGAUCAAAGUUUCUCUUCAAAACCACAAUCGUUUCUCAAAUUUCUCUGCGGGAUUAAGUCAAACUUUGGCUCCACGCGAACGCGACUGUGACCUUGAUCUUCAGGCUAAAGCCAAAGAAGAAGGGUUCUCCGCCAAGGAAAGGGAAGACACAUGAUCCAACCGGUGGUCUGGUAGAUCCCUUAACUGUGUUUGGAGGACUUCCUGGUGCCCUUCCUCCAACCACUGGAGGAGCUGAGGGAAUCACUGGAGGGUACUUCCCAGUCCCAGUCGUCUCAGUUAUCGUGGGUUUCGUCAUAUGUCUUAUAAAUUGAUGAUGUUUAACAUUGUCUAAUGCUCGUUUAAGUUAACUGGAGGAGGAUCUCUCUUUAGCUACGGCUGCUAUGGCUGGUUUGGACUUGCUUGAUGCUAGUGAUGACGACGAUGAUGGAAAUGAUCAUAAUUGCAAAGGAGUUGGGUAUAUGUCUGCGGCGGUUAUAUUGUUAGGUAUCAGGGCCAUCUAUUAGCAAAGGAAUUGGUAGCUAGAGGACUGCAGACCACUGUGAUCACUGACUCUGCAGUUUUUGCUAUGAUUUCUCGAGUGAAUAUGGUACAUUUUCAGUCCUGCCCAGAUUUAUAUAUUCAUGUCGCUUGGCUUCUAAAAAUAGAUCUCAAAUGAUGUGAUAAUACACAGGUUAUAAUUGGAGCUCAUGCAGUGAGCAUCAUUAUCCGUUGUCCUUAA